GCAUGCAGCUCCCGUCUCUCUCAGAGCCUCUCAGAGGGCAGCUGUGAUUUGCACCGUCUCACAUGCAGGUGGGAACUGCUGCGGCGUGGUGAAACAAUCUUCUCAUGACUGUUCUGAGUCGUUCCAGCUGCUCCUCGUCUCCCACCCUCCCCAUUAGAAGCCAAGGGACCAACUGACCGAGCUCCUCCACAGCCGUUAUGUCCUGGUUGUUCUUGGACUGGUUCGUGCCCCUCUACCUGCUAGUGUCGGUUCUGGUGCUGGCAGGCUUUGGAGCGUGCCUGUACUUCCUCGAGCCCGGGCUGCAGGACGCCCACAAAUGGAGCAACAAAACAAUCCGGCAUCACCCGCUGGUGGCCAGUGUGAACUGCAGAGAUGACGAUAGCAAUGCCCUGAUCUGAUGGAAUGGGUAGCAAAGGACCCAUCCAGACUGGGGCGCAGACAGGACAUUGAAGGGACAGUCAGGGGAGGGGAGAAGGGGGGGACCUUGCCAGCUAAAAGAGGAGGAAGAUGAGGAUCAUUUAUCAUUCCAAUUUUUCUUUGCUCUCUGUGGGUUUUCCCAGCAGGGAUCAGGGAAAGUGUGGCAGACAUGCAGGGUCACAGAAUCAGAUUCUCAUGUGAUUCAGAAACAUGUUUCCCUUUACUGUUUAUAGAUCUGAUGCCAUCCUAUAUAAUUGUGCCAACUUUUUGCAUACAUUUUGUAAUUUGACAAUCACUUUACGUCCGACACAAAGCCAACUUUUUUCAUGCAUUUGUUCAUAGUAAAGUGAAUGAUGUAAUUCUCCUGCUACUGGGGGAGCUUUUUUUUUUGUCAUCUUUUUUUGUAAUCUUCUCCCUGAUGUCUGCACGGCAGCUGUUGAAAUGCAUGUGGAUAGCUAGUCCUGCUGUGUAAACUGGUGAGACGCUUCUUUAAGUAACUUGCUGUGAAUAAAUUCCAGAGAGUCCUUCAAUAUGCCAAGAAAA